GAGAAGACUGCAACAACACAGGCACUGCUGGUGGCACCCUUCACUGCUCAAGAGGCACUCAAUGAGCAGAACUGAAUCAACUCAAGGCAAGCCAUCUUGAGGCCAAAACAAAAACUUGCCAGGACAAAGGAAAAAGCAAGUAGCUUUCCUCUCGCUAAUGCUGCAUUUCCUCUGCUUGGAGCUGGUUCAUUAAGCUGGAAAUUGGUCAAAGCAGGCUCCUCUGUUUGGAACAAAAUUAAUUAGUUUUGCGAGAGACAUCAGUGACAGGCCUCCCUAUCUAACUGCUCUAAAUCUCCAGGAGAGAGAGAUCUUUGUGAGUCCCUCACUGUAUUAUCAAAAAUCAACAUGUCUCAUCCCUGUCAAGACACAGAUGUGCCAAAAAUAUUGAAUGGAUCAGAGAAGCCAGAGCAGGCACCAGCCAGCCUGCUGUGGCUGCUUUUGUCCACUUUGAGUUAGACUGUGGAAGAAGGAAAACAAACAAACAAAAAAACAGAUGCUGUUACCAAACACAGCAGAGACAGAAAGUCACAGAAGAAUGCCAAGGGAAAUUUUCAAAGAAGAGGACAGGAAUACCCAUUCUUGACAUCUCUGACAGAUCAACUAUGUUACUUCACAAAAGUGGUCUGCAGAGAGGGAUUUACUGUUCAACUGCAGAAAACACCAACCACAGCCAUGUGAGUGUCAAAAGACAAUUAGAUAUUAAAGGCAGCGUCACAGCGUCUUAGGAUAUAUCUUAGGAUUCCAUAUUUUACGUAUGGAAUUCUCCCUGACUUGAGGAUUAGUUAACAGUUGAAUGUUUCUCUUACUGAAAAAUCAGGGAGGGAAGAUUCCCAUCCAUGUUGUGCACAACAGUGCAUAUGGGUUAUGUUCCUGUUGAGACUUUCAAUGUGAGUAUUGCUAUGGCUUAAAUGAGACAUCGCACUGCAGUAUCAAAGGAAUGAACUUUGGAUUCUAAUCUCUGCAUGAAACAAAAAAGGUGUUGUCUUAGUAUUGGAGUGAGAUGUCUGAAGUGAGCUAGCUGGAUUCUGAUACGGUCCUAUGUCUUUUUUUAGCUAGGAGUAAAUUGUAUUUUUAAUAGAGGAGUGGAUCUGUUACAAGAGUGACAAGUUGGAAAAAAUGUCUAUACAGAUUAUUGUGAAGAAUAAAAUGUUUUAUGGUAU
rnacentral:lncRNA from 7 species